GAGAGAGAGACAGAGAGAGAGAGACACCCCACAGAGCCCCAGGACAGCAGCACAAUUAGACCCAACCAAAUCAUGAGAAAACAAAAAGAUAAUUACUUGACACAUUGGAAAGAAUUAACAAAAAAACAGAGCAAACUAGAAUGCUAUUUGGCCCUAAACAGAGAGUACACAGUGGCAGAAUACCUGUCCACUGUGACUCUUUACAGAGGGGAUUAAGAGAGAAGAAAGUACUUUCUGGAAGAGGAAAAGAAGAGAAGAUAUAUCUGUGGCCCUUCCUAGGAUUAAAAGGGCCCCUGGCUCAGAUCAACCUAAUGGGGAUGCUGUUGUUGUCUCUCUGUCUCUACAACGACCUCGUCUCUGGAGGCAUAAUGAAGGAUGAUGAGAUCCAGAAUUAUGGCGGUGACACCAUAAGCUGCUCUCUGGCUCCGGUGCAGCGUCUGGAGGCCCUGCUGGCUCAGGGGAAUGGCAACGAUGUGUCCCUCAGGGUUCAGAGUCCAGGGCCUUCAGCAGGGUCACCCAGUACAUGACUCAGAACCUGGCCAGCUCCUCUGGACACGCAGUGGAAAGGUACCAGUAUGCCCUUCAGACUGGAGAAGUGGCCCUGAG
ensembl:lncRNA